AAGGGCUUCGGCCCCGGUACAGUGGCGCACGGGUGAGUAACACGUAGAUAAUCUCCCCUCGAGUGGUGGAUAACUUUCCGAAAGGAAAGCUAAUACAGCAUAAGACCACGGCUUCGUUGAAGCUGCGGCCAAAGCAGGCCUCUACACGUAAGCUUGCGCUUGAGGAUGAGUCUGCGGCCCAUCAGCUAGUUGGUAGGGUAAUGGCCUACCAAGGCUAAGACGGGUAGCUGGUCUGAGAGGAUGAACAGCCACACUGGAACUGAGACACGGUCCAGACUCCUACGGGAGGCAGCAGUGGGGAAUCUUGCGCAAUGGGCGAAAGCCUGACGCAGCGACGCCGCGUGAGCGAUGAAGGCCUUCGGGUUGUAAAGCUCUGUGGGGAGGAAAGAAUAAGGUUUGGCUAAUAUCCAAACUGAUGACGGUACCUCCUUAGCANGCACCGGCUAACUCUGUGCCAGCAGCCGCGGUAAGACAGAGGGUGCAAACGUUGUUCGGAAUUACUGGGCGUAAAGCGCGUGUAGGCGGCCCUGCAAGUCGGGUGUGAAAUCCCACGGCUCAACCGUGGAAGUGCACUCGAAACUGCAGGGCUAGAGUCCUGGAGAGGAAGGUGGAAUGCUUGGUGUAGAGGUGAAAUUCGUAGAUUUCAAGCGGAACACCGGUGGGCGAAGGCGGCCUUCUGGACGGUGACUGACGCUGAAACGCGAAAGCGUGGGGGAGCAAACCAGGAUUAAAUACCCUGGUUAUUCCACGCCGUAAACGAUGAGUGCUAGGUGUCA
rnacentral:rRNA from 1 species